UUUGGGCGCGCGAGAGGUCUGGUGGGCGUGCGGAUUCGCGCCCUCCGCGUCGGAUUCGCGCCCUCCGCGCCCUCCGUGCCGGCCUGCGCCGCGCUGCACCGGAGGACGGAGGCGGCCUUGCCGCGCCGCGCGGGAGGAGGGAGGUGGCCUGCGCCGCGCCGCACGGGAGGAAGGAGGGAUCUGCGCCGCGUCGCGCGAGAGGAGAGCAGCAGGCUGCGAGGCGUCGAUUCGGAGGUACUAGAGCUGAAGGAGAGGAGCCAUUACCACGCCGUGAAGGGGAGGGACGCUGCUUCCUCUAGGUUCGAUCUACAGCGAGGGGUUUCAGGGUUUCAGCUUGUGGAAGGCAAAUGAUAGAAUCCGAGAAGGGGGCGCCUCAAGUUGGAUUGAGGUUCAAAAAUCUAGAUGAAGCUUGGCAGUUUUGGGUGGCAUAUGGAGGCCGUAUGGGCUUUGAUGUGAGGAAAAGAUACAAAAAUGUGAGCAGAUAUGAUGGUGAGGUGACUUCAUGCAGAUAUGUUUGUUCCAAUGAGGGUCAUCGAAGGAAAGGAUAGUCAGAUAAUGCACCAAAGCUUUUUAGAGCUGAAACAAGAACUGAUUGCAAAGCUUGGAUGAGUCUUAUAUUGGAUCGAGAAGCAAAAAAUUAUGAAGUCACUGAUGUUGUCCUCGAACACAAUCACCUCCUUCACUUGCCAGAAACUCGCCACUUGAUGGUAUCACAAAGAAAAAUUUCAGAACUUCAAGCCUUUGAAAUCGAGACAGCUGAUGAUUCUGGAAUUAGACCAAAAGCUGCACAUGAGUUGGCUAGUCGUCAAGUUGGUGGAUCGCUUAACCUCAGCUACACAUGCCGUGACCGUAAAAAUUAUUUGCAGAGCAAAAGGCAGAGGGAGUUGGCCUAUGGACAGGCUGGAAGUAUGCUGCAAUAUUUUCAAGAAAAAAUCACCGAGAACCCAUCAUUUCAGUAUGCUGUGCAAUUGGAUUGUGAAGAGCGCAUAACCAAUAUUUUCUGGGCUGAUGCUAAAAUGAUCCUUGACUAUGCACACUUUGGUGAUGUGGUCACGUUGGACACUACCUUUGGCACAAACAAGGAAUAUAGGCCAUUUGGAGUUUUUCUUGGGCUCAAUCAGUUUAGAGAAACCACUGUUUUUGGUGCUGCACUUUUGUUUGAUGAAACAGAGGGCUCAUUUGUAUGGUUGUUUGAGACAUUUAUGGCUGCACAUAAUGGAAUUUUUACCGAACUCCUAACAUCUCCAAGUUGUGAUCUUGGUGAUGAAAAUCAGUUCUAGAAUGUGGAUUCCAACUUAGUGAUUUUGGACAUACCUAACCACAGUAUUUGGUUAGCUAACUAUAGCAUUUUGUGGCCUAAUUGUACAAGUGAAAUGGCCUUUACUUUGAAAGGUUCAGCUGCUGGUCUAUUGCACUAGAAUGAACAAUAUAUGUUGUAAUAAGCCCGCAGCUGCAAGACAGACAAUACCUUUCCUUUUGUAUCUAUUUCAGUUAGUGUCCUGAAGAUAUAAAGUAUGAACUUGUUAAUUGGGGCAAGUUCUUAAAGAGUUCAGGGGAUGAUAGAUGUGUCUAUUUUACUACUGAAUAUUUCCUAUUUGUUCCCUAAAAUUCUGUUUGAAUGAUUCAGAAUUCCAUGUGUUUGUGA